rnacentral:rRNA from 1 species
GUGUCAGCCGCCGCGGUAAUACGGAGGGCGCAAGCGUUGUUCGGAAUUACUGGGCGUAAAGCGCGUGUAGGCGGUUCUGCAAGUCGGUUGUGAAAUCCCCGGGCUCAACCCGGGAACUGCAUCCGAAACUGCAGGGCUAGAGUUCCGGAGAGGAAGGCAGAAUUCCCAAUGUAGGGGUGAAAUCCGUAGAUAUUGGGAGGAAUACCAGUGGCGAAGGCGGCCUUCUGGACGGUGACUGACGCUGAGACGCGAAAGCGUGGGGAGCAAACAGGAUUAGAUACCCUAGUAGUCC